GCCCCUAUAGCUCAGUGGUAGAGCGUUCCACUCGGUUAGUGCAACACAUUCACACUUAAUAUCAAAAAUAAAUCAUACUAAUAUCCUACAGUAUCAUAUGAUGUGAAAUGGAGAGGUCCAUCGUUCAAUCCGGUGUGGGGGCA